ensembl:lncRNA
GUGAAGAAGAACUUCAAAUACCUUUUAAGGUUUGGAAGCUGAUCUAAAAUUUAAUCCAUUAACUUUAUCUUUUAUUUCUAUCUAUUUUAUAACUAUCAAAUGCACACACUGCUUCGGAUGGAAAUGCUUCAAGCUUCCUUCAAAAAUUUUCCAGAGUGCAUAUAAUUUUAUUUUUACAUAACUAGUUAUAGCAGCUUUCAAUCUUAGUUACAAGAGAUGCUCAGUUUCAAAACCACCAUCCACCAAACUUAAUAACCCAUGCUAACGGGUACUUUGAAGCCAUGUUCUUGACUUUCAGAGAAAUGGUAGAGGAAAGGGGAAAUAAAGGCAUUUCAUUUUCUUUGAAGUGGCCAUAAAACAUGUAUUUGUUAUGCAGACAAGCAGUGAGAUUAAGUUAUUGAGAGGAAAGUGCCACCUUUUUCUACUCUUAUGAAAAUCUUUCAAACAUAUCUCAACUUUGAUCCACCACUACCAAAGGAAAUGACACAUUCGAAAUGCCAUUGAAAUGGGGUACAAUGAAACCUGUCAUUCAUGUCUUGGUUACAUCUAUAAAGCCAGAAGCAGAUUUCUGAGGUUCUUCAAUGAUUUUCCUUUUUAUUUUUUUUUCCUCUGUUGGCCAACUUAAUUGGAUAUCCUCAGGUUUGAGGAAAAUGAGAUGUCUCAAAGGACUUUUCCUUUAAAUUAAAAAGACAAAACAAAAUGAAAGCCACACACACACAAAAAUAAAAUAAUUUUAAAAAGCACCAAUAUUUCAUUGUAAACAUCUCUUGAUGGUGAAAUUUAUCUUUAGGCCUCAAAGCACACCAAAAAGAUUCCAGUCAUGGUAAUGUCCUCUAUAGUCACUCAGAAUAAAUGCAAAAACUUUCUUCUGCCUCUGUCAAAAUUGUUGGGAUUUCAUUAACCAGCCCAAAGAAAAUUCAAAUUGGAAUAGAAAACUUAUUAUACAUCACUACUACUUUCAUUAGGAUGCAAUAAAAGCAGCUCAUUUGCAUUUCUUUUCUGUCUUGUAUCCUUUUCUUAUAGUAUUUCCUUCUGUUUUCUGUACUUACCACAUUCUACUUACUUGUGUUCAAAGUGUGUACUGUGAAUUUUGGCAAACCAACAUCACAGGUAGUUAAGCAGGCAAGCAGUUCAACAGUAGGGUGUAUUUCUUUAAUCAUCAGUCCCAUAAAACUAUUAGCAAUU